UACGUAGGGGGCGAGCGUUGUCCGGAUUUACUGGGCGUAAAGCGCGUGUAGGCGGCUGCUUAAGUCGGGUGUGAAAGCCCCGGGCUUAACCUGGGAAUGGCAUGGGAGAACUGGCUAGCUGGAGUGUGGCAGAGGGGGGUGGAAUUCCGCGUGUAGCAGUGAAAUGCGUAGAGAUGCGGAGGAACACCGAUGGCGAAGGCAGCCCCCUGGGCUGACACUGACGCUCAGGCACGAAAGCGUGGGGAGCAAACAGG
rnacentral:rRNA from 1 species